GGGGACGGGGGGGACACGUCCCCCGCACUUUUAGAAACUGGUGAUUCUGACCCCUGCUAUUUUUUUGGAUCCAGCGUGAAUAUUUCCGGCACCGGCAGUGUUCUCUGAUUUGUUACUUAGAUUUGAGUGAACUAACAUUCAGCCAAUCACAGAGCGAAUCAUCUCUUGGGCGCGUCUGCUAUGAGCUUCAAAUCUCUUGUUGGUGUUGUGAGUUUUCGUUCGUUCAUUCGCCGUCUGGGAUAAAAUGCACCCCAGAAAAAAAGCAAAGGACGAUUACAUCCUUUUUUCAAACACACACUGAAAGGCAGGCUGUGACGUCACUGACAGAGAGAGGGGACAGUUGCUCAACCUCUCCAGAAUGUGUACAGAAAGGGACUGUGGCUGUCGUCCACCUCAGGCCUUUGAGUCUAGAUCCAGCAUAUGGUGAAGGACUCGGGGUGUUGACACCUUAAUGAGGGCAAAUGGAGGAAAAUAUCAGUGGGAUCAGAAAACCCUGCCAGGAGACAAUCUGCAACAAUCAGAAACGAAAAAGCCUGGAAUAAAGUGUUUGUGCCACAAUGGUCCUUGCUUGAGGGCAAUUUGUAGAAAAAAAAAAAAAAAAAAAAACAUUAGCUAGAGGGUUUAAAAGAAUAGUGCAUUGCUUAUUCAAGAAAUAGAAACUAAGAAACAUUACCAUUAAAGUGUUUUAAGAGUUUAUCUGUUUACAUGUUGUUUUAGAUUGAUUAGAGAAGAUUAAAUAACAGUAAUGCAAUAACACUGUGAAAAAGGAAUACAGCCCUGAGGUUAUUGUAUAAUAUUACUGAAUACCACCUGCAAUAAAAGAGGCCUGCAAUAAGUUGCACAUAAUAAGAGUCCCAUGAAUUACAGCUUACCCUCACGGCAUGAGUUGUGGACAAAGUCCAAACACACAAACACCAACCCAGCAAACUUGGAUUUUUAUCAGCAGCUCUGCAGGCCUAGAGAUAUUCAAUGUCCUUUUUGAUGGUAAAGCAAAUGUUUUACUAGAAUUGCCACCAGGGCUGGUCCAGGUGUAUGUAGGACCCUAAGCGAGAUCAUGAAAAUGGGUCCCAGUAGUAGAUAACUCUACAUAACUGUGCAUAAAAGUUUAUUCAGCGUAACACAUUCAUUGUAAACAAACAAUAAUUGAG